rnacentral:lncRNA from 1 species
CCUGACGGAGAUUAUCAAUAGUCUCCUGAUGAUAGUCGUGAGAUCCAUGAGAAAAGUUGAAUCGGGCAACGUUCAUGCCUGCCCAUAGAAGCUUCUCGAUCAUUGGCACCGAUCGAGAUGUUGGGCCCAAAGUACAUACUAUCUUAGUCUAUGGCUUGCAGCGCCUAUUCAAGCAAAAGGAUCUAAAUUUUUGCUAGAGAAGGUGGUUAGAGUUGCUCAAGGACUAUGAUAUUAAUAUUUGGCACCGAUCGAGAUGCUGGGCCCAAAGUACAUACUAUCUUCGUCUUCGGCCUCUUCACUGUACAAACAUCCACUCCAUUGUUGCUGUUCUCAAUCGCCAUAGCAAAGAAUUUUGGUUUUUUCAACAAAAAAAAAGGAUACUGAAGGAGGAGACUUUUGUAGAGUGAACCCUUUUGAUAAAUUAAUUAUGAAUAAAAAAUAGGGUAAAUAGGUCUCUAAGAAGUGUUGCGUCGUCCAAACGAAGGCGAGAUCUUGGAGAAUUAUAUAAGAAAACGGAAAACCUGCGGACUUGACGUGAUGUUGAAAUUUUCUUUGGUUUGUUUUAUUUUUUUCUCUUUGGUUUCUCUCGAUCUAUUUUU